CUCUGUUCACCCUGGCUUGGCCUCAGCAGAGCAAGCACAGGAGGACACCAGACACCAAGAUGUCAAUCAUUGUUAUAAUGGGGGCUGUUGCUGUAAGGCCCAAACCUGCAGUCUGCACUCAGCUCCCCCGCCUGUCCUUGGAAGUACUAAUUGCUGCCUUGAGGACACAAAGCGGCUCCCCUAUGUGUCCCCCUCUAGGGAAGCUGAGGCACAGCGAGAGGAAAUGACCUGCUUGCCGCAAGCUGAUGCCAGAGCAAGACCCGGAGCCCCGCGCUUCCCAAGUCCCAGCCCAGUGCUCAGGCUGUGAGUGAUGCAGCCGCAAGCCAAAGAUCCUGCUCACCCUGUGACGGUUGGAGCUGAGGCUCCCUGCACUCCUGCAUCACAGGCCCUGCUGGCUUCAUCUUCCAGCUGUGCAGCCCCAGUGCAAGUGGCAUCAGAUGUGGGAGCGACAGCAGCCAAGGCCACCUCAGGCAACAGCCAUUCCUUCUGCCCAUGUGUGCCACAAGGAGGAGGAUGGGGAAGGAGACAGGUGCUCACAGGGGGGAAUCUUGCCUUGUUGUCCAGGAGCCUGAUGCCCAAGGACAGAGACCCAGGCAAGCAGAGAUCAAGGAGAAGCCUUUUUGGCACGACUGAGGGAGACAACACUGCCUGCCUAUCAUUGUCUUCUUUGCAUUCAGCUCUCUGGACCAGCAGCUGCACCUUUAGCACCACCUACACAAGGACCAUGCAGCGAAUGCCACCCUUGUGAUGGAGGAGGCCUAAGAGACAGCAACAGGUGAGGUGCCCUCUGGUGUUCCCACUCCCUCCUGGGGUGCUGCCAGCACUUGAUCUUGGCUUCCUGGGGUGACCUAUGCAAGGGCCAGAGGUCUGGGUCCAGUCCCAUUUGCCCUCAGCACUGCUCUGCCUGCCCUGCUCUUUCUCAUCCGUGAGGCCAGGGGAAGAUCUGCCCGAGGAAGGAGCUCCUUCAUCCCCAGCUCGGCUCCCGGUGACCUUACAGCACGUACUACCGAGGUCAGCCCUGCCCAGACCAUUCCUCCAUUUCCGAGGGCUCUGAAUUACUGUCCAGCUGUUCUCCCAGCCAGAGGCUGAACCAUCAGGGCUGCUGCCUGUUGUUCUCCAGGCAGCUCUUGCUCUCUCCUGGCCUAGCAGGUGGGACAUUAGCACAUGUGGACUGUGAAGCUGGACUCACCACUUCUGUGCCCAGCUCAGACCUGGGGUGACAGCUGGGGCAGUCACAAGCAGCAGCUCCCAGCAGAUGCCCCAUGGGCUGGACUGUUAGGAGCAGCGUGGACGUCUGGCAGCUGUGGGGGCUGCAGGCGCUGUAUACCCUGGGCACAUUUCUGAAGGCAGGGGCUGUAAGAAGAAGCAGCCAAGUGGUGGAGGACUUUGCUCUUGGCAGCUGCCAGAGACUCAUGCCUCAGGAUCUGGGAAUGUGAGCAGCUUGCCACAGCUGAUCACAUGUCCCAGGUUUAGGGACUGGUAGGAACACGCAGUUUAAAGGUUAGACCACAGGACAGAGCACCUGCACCCUCCUGCCACCUCUGAAGCAGGCUCCCUGGAUGGCCUUUUAUGAACCAACCCCCCUUGCUGGACAGAUCCAGACUCUCCAGGCACCCAAAUAGGGGCAGCUGAGCUCCCAGCAGCUAGUCAUGCUGGAAAAUCAGGCUUCUGCUCCUCCGAGUGAAACUGGGAGUCGUGUUGGUCCCUGAAGCCAGGGGUACCAGGAGACCCAGUCCACUCCUGCUUAGUCACUGAGAUCCUCUAUGGUGAGGUGCCAGCAAAGCGCUAGGUGCCAUUGCUCCUGACGGUGAUAAAGCAAGCCACGCUUGCUACCACAUGCAAGCUGGGGAGAGCUUCGUACGCACUGUACUUCCAAGGUUUGGACUGACGUGUUCCCAGCCACAAGGAGCCAAUGAGUAAUUCUGUAGGUGGCACAUGUUGCUGUGCCAGGGGCUUUGGCUGGAUUACUCAUACUUACUACAGACACACGACUAAGAACAGCUGGGAGCUUAACUUCAGAAGCAGCAAAAUGGUACGGGGGUGUCAGAGAAGAAGUGGUGUCUGAUUUAAGACCUGGUCUCUGACCCUCAGCUCUUUGCAGGUGGCUUAGUGCCAGCCCUAUAUCCAGGUGGGCUGUGCCCUUUGAGCAGUGCUGCCUGUUUCAAUGCCAAACCAUCUGCAGGAUCCAGGCCCGUGUUUGCUCUUCCUCAGUACUAGAAGACCUGUUCUUAGACCCAAGAAACUUGCUGCAAGACCCAAGAAACUUGUUGCAGAGACUGUGCUCUUCAAGCAGGGGAUUCUGGAAAAUGUCCUUCUCAGAUGCAGGACGUGAUGGGGGAUCAGGUGAGUAGAGGUCAUGCGACUGCCUGGAGGGACUAUAUCGAGCAGGCCUCUGGGUACCUCCAGAAACAGUUAGGUUGGGUUGGUGGUUGGGUUUAGAGGCUUAUUGUGAGUGGAGCUGUAAGCCCAUUAAUAAACCAAGUGGGUGAAGGGGGAAUUUAAUUUGGAAGCCUCAGCUAUGCACAGCUCACUUUAUAGAAAGGAAACUGGGCCCUGGCCAAACCAGAGAGUGGGAAGGAGGGAGGCUGACCUUAUUGUACCUCUGUGCCCAUAGCUCUCUCUGAAGUCAUAGAGAUGUAGGGCUGGAAGGAGCCUCCUGAGCCGGGGCAUCUGCUAGUAUAGUGUACCCACCUCAUCUCUGGCUUGGAGCUAUAAUAAGCUCUGUCUUUAAAAUUAGCGCCCUUCCUGGCACAUGGUUCCUUCUGGGAGGAGAUUCCAGAACCUCCUUGCCCGGAGAGUAAGAAACUUUCUUCAGUUUCCAGCCUAAAUUCAAUCCUGGCCAGUUUAUGCAGACUAGAACUGCUCUGCUCUUUUGCUGGUGUUCAGCUCCCUGCUUUACUUGGAGAGAGGGAGCGCCGUACAGGAAGCUAGUUGGAGCCCGCAUGUCUCCUGAGAGCCCUGUCCAUCCCUGGGCGCUCUUUAUGUAAGAUGGAGGACUGGCUCCUGAGCUUCCCAGCUGUGAUAAGUCCAUGCAGCUCUAUUGACGCUACCGGAGCUCUAUUGAUGUCACGUUAAGGCUGUGCUGCUCAAGCUAUUUUAAGCAUUUUGGUUGUAUUUUAAAAAAAAAUCUUCCCAAUGGUAAUAUUUUUAACUCUCUUGUUGCUCAAAGCAGGUUUCAGUGGAGUGGUGGGCAGUUCCCAAGUGACUCAACUGUAAUUGGUGUGCUGGGUCCUGGGGCAUUUUUGGUGGUGGGGCUGAUGCAGUGGGGAAAAGCCAAGGCAUUGGAGUUUAAGUUCUGAUGUGAUCUCUUUCCCUUUCUUCCACUGACUCUGAAUAUAAGGAUUUACUGCUCCUGAGCGACAGAUUUAGCCACAGAUGAGAGGGCAAGGGGUCCAGAGGAGGCAGCGGGGCUCCACAGGUCAAUGGUGUGCACGGGAAAGACCAAUGGGGCUGGGAUGAGUGUUGCUAUGCUGCCAAAACUCACUUCUUUAGGUGGCUAAAUGCCCAAGGGUCACCAGGGUCUGCUAGGCAGGGAAGCCCUCAGCUUCAGGGGCAAACAUGUGAUCCCUUCAGGGCCGUGGUGCUUUCCUCUGCCUCUUGAUCUCAGUGGGUUGGAGGUCCCCACUCUGGGUGGGUCUUUGGAGCCUAGUGCCUGGGGCUGCUUUUGUAGGACACAAUUAAAGGUUGAUGCAGUUUAGGAUGGUGAGGCCAUGAUGGUAAGACAGCUGCCAAGAUGCAAGGUGUUUGGGUGGUGGAAGUGGGGAGGUAGUGUCUCAGAGCCCUGGGUUCUGGUUGGCCUCUUGUGACUCCUGCGUCCACGCGUACAGGCAAGGGGAUCUUUGAAGACCAAACAGGUACUCGCUCCUGGGUCCGAGGGCUUCCCACUGCUUUAACCUCCUCGAGUGCUGCCAGUGCCACUUCUAGGAUCACUUCAUCACUCAUCCUGUAACCCCAGUGGCUUCAGAUGGGAUGAGGGAAGAGCUGGGCUUCUCUGUCUGCUGCAAGUUGCACCGAUUUCAGAGCUCCCUGCCUGCUCCCUCUCUGAUACCCAAGGUCUCUCCUGCAUAAGCUUGGCUCCAAACUGAAGACUGAGCAAGGAGCAUGUGGAGCCUCCAGUGGCACUAGAGACCCAUCACUGGUUUCAGUAAUACUUUUGUCAGGCCCAUGACCCUACCUGCUGGAUACCUGGGCACUUACCGUUAGGGCUGACCCUCCAUUUGCAGUGGGUGGCUUAACCCCUGCCAGCACAAUGACCCUGGCACGACUUCCUGAGCCACAGACAGUGUCAUUCUGUUUUCAUACAGCACUGAGCAAAUACUCGGUCUCUAGGCAUAGGAGAAGGAAAUAGGCACUAUGUGAACCAUAGGUCUGAAAAGUCUUGCUGCCAGGUCGCCAUGCCUUGCAGGGUUAAUUGAGAUAUAAAUGGUACCUAAGCCUCUUGCCGGUCCUCCAAAUGGGAUGGCUGUCCAGCCCAGCCCACAUGAAGCAAACUGAUGCCACCCACCUAGGGCUAUACACAUGGGGCCAGGCCCUGUGGCAUGCUGAGCCCUUGCCUCCCCUGCUGACUGGUGCGGCUCAAAGCCCUUCUGGGAUUUGCUUGCGAGUGGUUUGGAGUCCUUGGAACCGUUGCCUUUCCCUCGAGAACAGACCACGGCUGCCUGGUCUGGAGUUCACAGCUGUCCUGCCCUUCCUAUUCUGCUUGUGGGGAGUCUCAUCCUGACUGGCCAGGCAGGAGCUCCAAAGGGUCUUUGGUAUGGUAAUGCUGGGAACUGCUCCCCUGGACAAUGCCACAUGCCCCGCUGGCUCCAUCUGCUUCCAGCUUGGCCCCGAGAUCCAGCCGCAGAGUGUUGAGGCCCAUCCUUCUCACGUAAAUAAACAGCUAUAAAUAAGGAGAGAGCCAGAGGUGCGAAAACUGCCAGGAGCAGAUUUCAGAAAACCAAUAAAUUAGUCUGGAAAAACAAAGGUUAUGAACUAUCAUCCGUUCUCCAAGCUAAGGGGCAGAGCCUCCCUUUCCCGAUGAAUGAUGAGGGGUCAAAGCUGCGUACCAGGAGCAGGGCUGGGCUGGCUGUAUCUAUCACAGGCUAAAGAUCUCUUCUGCUGCCUCCUGGCUCUGGUUGCAUUAAUACACUGACAGUCAUGUUCUGAGAAUAGGGACAAGAACCCAAGUGAACAUGCAAAGAGGAACCAGAUUCUGGGAAAGAAGUUGUUUGUUGAGUGAUCCUGCAACAGACUAUCGUGGUGCUAAUGAUGUGUGCCAGUAUCAAUAAAGCAUCAGCACUCUUCUGGCUCCCCCCUAUCUUGUGCCUUGGAAUUUCUCUCUGCAUGUUUGGCUUCCCCUUUGGAAGCGUGGUGUUUACCUCGCCGAAGCAGGCUUGGGAACAGUUGCUAGGAAAGAUGCUGGAUAAGACUGGAACAUCUGAUCGGCUGCUGUUGUAAGUCCGGGGCCUUUUGUACAGUCCUGAAGACAGUAGGCACUCAGGGCAGUGCCAGGGCAGGAAGGGGACUAAAGGCAUUAUGUAUUUCAGAGCCAACAGCCUGGCCCUCCAAAAUGCAGAGUAUCCCUGACCCUGUGCGAAGUCCUUCACCUCCUGAAAUGCGAGUUCAGGGCUGCUGGCUGCCCAAUGCCCUCCAGUGGCAUGAACUGUCCCUGUAAAACAUGUGCGCAAAGCACUUCUAUCCCAAGCUGCCCUGGACACUAAGCUGAAUCAGUAGAGUGUGGAGGGUAGGAAAAAGAGACAAGAAACCCUUGUAGAAAGCUAAAUCACUCCAGGCCUGACCUGAAGCUACUGAGGUCGAUGGAGAGAGCCCCAUCGACCAUGAUAAGCUGUGGAUCAGCCCCUCGGUGCUGGAGACGAGCAUAUUUGCAAGCUUUCACUUCAGCCCUUGGGACAAAGAGCUGAGUCAGACUUUUAUAAGGGCUCGGAUUUUGCUGGGAAAGCAAAUGGCCUAGAAGUUUAUGCAAACUUGGGUUAGGCUGGGAGGAAGCCUCUGUCAGUCUCUGCUGGCCUGGGGGGAUCUCUCUAUGGAGCCAGCAUCAGGCCACAGGGGUGCUUGGGUCCCAACGAGCAGGAUUAGAAGCAGCAGAAAAUACGUUGUACUCGCCUCGUCCUGCCUGAUGAGUCUUUCAGCACUCAAAAUGCAACGACAAGUCUCCUGGAAGGAACUUUUUGCUGCCCGUUUCCAGCAUCACAAGAGGAGGAAAAAACAAAGCUGGAAGAACAGCCUCUGCAAUGCAAACCUGAUUGCAAAGUGUCCACGUGCCCAGCAUGGGCACUGCAACCACAAGGCAGAAAGCUGGUGUUCAGACCAGGGCAGGGAGCUGCAGUCAUUUGCUCCUCCCAGGCUGGGUGAGGGGCUCCCCGAGCCUGUCUUCUCACUACCUCCCCCUGACUUCUCCUGACUCCCUUCAGCUGCCACAGUUGUUCUGUGAGGAAGGUCAUUGACCCGCUUAAGGGUGUGGGCAAAGGAAGGCAAGUCUACGGGCUCCAGCAUCCUUAGGGUCAGGGUUGGAGGGAGCAGAGGAUAUGGGCUGCUCCUCAUGGUCCUACUUCCCUUCCUUCCACCAAGUGUGCAAAGGGACGUGGCCCCUAGUGAGAUGCUGGCCUCUCCACCACACACGCUCUCUGCUUCCCUUCCGCUCCUUUUAUUUCCCACGGUCGGGUUGUUUGUAUUGCAGUCAUGCCUAGGGGAACCUCUCUGCGCUAGGAGCUGUACGUGCAUCUAGCGAGAGCCAGUCCGUGCCCUGAAGAGCUUCACAUCUAAACAAGCAAGAGGGACACAGGGUGUCGGAAGGGACGGGCUGCCACCUCCCUUUCCUAGCCAGGGCACUGAGAGGGAGAGAGGAAGAGAUGGGUUUUCGCUUGGUCCCUAUUGAAGCGGUCAGGUCCUCCAGAGACCCGGCUCUUCUGACACUCUGCCCAGGAAGGAGCCGCGGGGUGCUGAGCGCACCUGGAAAGCCUGGCCGGAGGUGACUUGCCUAGGGCCUCCUGGGGGCAGAGGCAGAGCCGAGAGCUGCCUCGGUCGCCCCUCUCCGGCCCGUAACUGCCGCCCUGAUCUCUGCCCAACGUGACGUUGUGCAGUCGAAGAUGCCCUCCCAGCUCGCUGGGCAAGGCCACGUUGGCAGAGACAUCGGGGUCUGAG